UACGUAGGUGGCAAGCGUUGUCCGGAAUUAUUGGGCGUAAAGCGCGCGCAGGUGGUUUCUUAAGUCUGAUGUGAAAGCCCACGGCUCAACCGUGGAGGGUCAUUGGAAACUGGGGAACUUGAGUGCAGGAGAGAAGAGUGGAAUUCCACGUGUAGCGGUGAAAUGCGUAGAGAUGUGGAGGAACACCAGUGGCGAAGGCGACUCUUUGGCCUGUAACUGACACUGAGGCGCGAAAGCGUGGGGAGCAAACAGA
rnacentral:rRNA from 1 species